AUCGUGAAUACACCAAUGCUUCUUAAAAGAAGUCGCUUCCGCCCCCCAAUCCACAGCUAACCGCAAAAGGGUUUCUUUGAAAAGAAAAAGUCUAAGACGUUAAGUGGGAAACGGCCUUCCUGAAGUCUUCCAGUCCCUACUCAUCUCCACCACAUACAAACUGUUGAAUUUUCCCUCCUAAGCUGGCUCUCCUCCCCCCUGACCCCUUUCCUCCGCCCACCCUACAGCCCCAUUAUCUAAAAACACCACCCUUGCCAAUUCUUUAGAGCUACCUAUGCUCCUCUCCUUGAAUCCCCACUACCUCCGCCAAGGGCUGGGGGAGGGGGAGAGAGAGAAAAGCGAGGUGCCCUUUUGCAAACUAAUUUAUACAGCAAAACUGGGCUUGAAAAAGAAAACAGGGUUUUUUUGUGCAAAAUGUACAAGGGGGCGACAUGAUGAAGAAAAAAAAAAUAGAGAGACCUUCCUUACAUCCUUGCGAAGUGGUGGCCUCCCCCCGUUUCUUUGGGGUUCGCUAUGGGUCGGGGGAGCCUCACCUCUAAGGCGUCUUGCGUUCCUUUGCGUCUCUUUUCUUGAACGUGAAAACAGGGUAUAUUUGAGCAGAAACUGUUAUGUCCUCCAAACGGAAGCGGAAGGAAAUGGCCCUUUGGGGAGGGGGCGUGUUUCCUGGCGCUUCCUCUUUGGCCUGGCAUCCUUCUUGCACUUAGAGUUUACAUUUUAAUGGGUAUAUAUACCAACUUUUUGAAGGACACCCAUUGGAGACGUCUUUCAAUGGGGUGUGUGCGCGUGUUCCGGUGAACAUUCAUAUAUAUAAAUAUAUAUAUAUUAUAUAUUUAUUGGUUAUAGCCAGUUUUAAACUAUUUUUUUCCCUUUUGUUGGUUUUGUAUUAUUUAUCCCCAACAUUUAUGUAUUUAUAAGAAAAAUAUGUACUUUUUUUUUUAGUAUUUACUUGUUAUAAAGGAAUAUGGUGUUUUUUCCUUGUCAUUGUACAACCAGUUUUUUCCUUUUCUCUUUCUUUUUUUAGUUAUUGUAAUUUAGGGAAAAGCCAGUAGUUACCUUCGUACUUAAAAUAAUGUGUUUAGUUCUACUGGAGGCAUGAAAUCCGAGCCAGGCUGUAAUUGUAUAGUCCUCAGUUAGAAGAACUAGCUAAACCCUUCCUUCCUUUCUCCUCUUCCUCCUCCACCACCACGCCCUCCUCCUCUUUUUUGAAACAUCUUUCUUUGUUCUUUACAGUAGAUAACUUUAUUUAUUUCCUUAAGGGUUGUCUGUUGAACAAUUCUUGAAUAAACUUUCUGUUCUUAA